GGGUCAGUAGGUUGGUCGUGCCACCGGUACGUACUGGUCUCACUGAUUCCUCCUUCCUGAAGAACCGUAAUGCCAUUAAUUUGGUGUUGCGGGGAAACAGGACUGUUACUUUGAAAAAAUUAGAGUGUUUAAAGCAAGCUAACGCUUGAAUACAUUAGCAUGGAAUAAUGAAAUAGGACGUUGAUCCUAUUCUGUUGGUCUCUAGGAUUGACGUA
rnacentral:rRNA from 1 species